GGAGUUGUAGCUCAGGAGCAGAGCACUUACCUGUCAGGCAUGAGGACCUGGGCUCAAUCCCCAGCACUGCCA
rnacentral:tRNA from 1 species